rnacentral:rRNA from 1 species
UACGGGAGGCAGCAGUGGGGAAUCUUGCACAAUGGAGGAAACUCUGAUGCAGCGAUGCCGCGUGAGUGAAGAAGGCCCUUGGGUUGUAAAGCUCUUUCGUCGGGGAAGAAAAUGACUGUACCC